rnacentral:rRNA from 1 species
UGGGGGNGCUAUACAUGCAAGUCGAGCGAACAGAUGAGAAGCUUGCUUCUCUGAUGUUAGCGGCGGACGGGUGAGUAACACGUGGGUAACCUACCUAUAAGACUGGGAUAACUCCGGGAAACCGGGGCUAAUACCGGAUAAUAUUUUGAACCGCAGGGUUCAAUAGUGAAAGACGGUUUCGGCUGUCACUUAUAGAUGGACCCGCGCCGUAUUAGCUAGUUGGUAAGGUAACGGCUUACCAAGGCGACGAUACGUAACCAACCUGAGAGGGUGAUCGGCCACACUGGAACUGAGACACGGUCCAGACUCCUACGGGAGGCAGCAAUAGGGAAUCUUCCGCAAUGGGCGAAAGCCUGACGGAGCAACGCCGCGUGAGUGAUGAAGGUCUUCGGAUCGUAAAACUCUGUUGUUAGGGAAGAACAAAUUUGUUAGUAACUGAACAAGUCUUGACGGUACCUAACCAGAAAGCCACGGCUAACUACGUGCCAGCAGCCGCGGUAAUACGUAGGUGGCAAGCGUUAUCCGGAAUUAUUGGGCGUAAAGCGCGCGUAGGCGGUUUCUUAAGUCUGAUGUGAAAGCCCACGGCUCAACCGUGGAGGGUCAUUGGAAACUGGGAAACUUGAGUGCAGAAGAGGAGAGUGGAAUUCCAUGUGUAGCGGUGAAAUGCGCACAGAUAUGGAGGAACACCAGUGGCGAACGCGGCUCUCUGGUCUGUAACUGACGCUGAUGUGCGAAAGCGUGUGGAUCAAACAGGAUUAGAUACCCUGGUAGUCCACGCCGUAAACGAUGAGUGCUAAGUGUUAUGGGGUUUCCGCCCCUUAGUGCUGCAGCUAACGCAUUAAGCACUCCGCCUGGGGAGUACGACCGCAAGGUUGAAACUCAAGGAAUUGACGGGGACCCGCACAAGCGGUGGAGCAUGUGGUUUAAUUCAAGCACGCGAAGAACCUUACCAAAUCUUGACAUCCUUUGACCGCUCUACAGAUAGAGUCUUCCCCUUCGGGGGACAAAGUGACACGUGGUGCAUGGUUGUCGUCAGCUCGUGUCAGUGAGAUGUUCGGGUNAGUCCCUCGAUCGAGCGCANCCUUAAGCUUAGUGCCAUCAUUAGUGGAGCNNCUCGUAAGACUGACUGCAGUGACNAGCGGGAGGANGAUGGGAUGACGUCNUCAGUCAUGCCCUUAUGAUUUGGGCUACACACGUGCUACAAUGGAUAAUACAAAGGGCAGCGAAUCCGCGAGGCCAAGCAAAUCCCAUAAAAUUAUUCUCAGUUCGGAUUGUAGUCUGCAACUCGACUACAUGAAGCUGGAAUCGCUAGUAAUCGUAGAUCAGCAUGCUACGGU